UGGCUCUCGCAUCGAUGAAGAACGCAGCGAAAUGCGAUAAGUAAUGUGAAUUGCAGAAUUCAGUGAAUCAUCGAAUCUUUGAACGCACCUUGCGCUCCUUGGUAUUCCUUGGAGCAUGCCUGUUUGAGUAUCAUGAAAUUCUCAAAGCAAGCCUUUUUGUUAAUUCAAUCGGUCUUGCUUUGGACUUGGAGGCUUUGCAGAUUUUUCACAGUUUGCUCCUCUUAAAUUCAUUAGCUGGAUCUCGGUAUAUGCUUGGUUCCACUCGGCGUGAUAAGUAUCACUCGCUGAGGACACCGUAAAAAAGUGGCCAGGAAAUGCAGACGAACCGCUUCUAAUAGUCUAUUUAAUUAGACAACACUCUUAUGAUCUGAUCUCAAAUCAGGUAGGACUACCCGCUGA
rnacentral:misc_RNA from 1 species